CACGUAGGGUGCGAGCGUUUGUCCGGAAUUAUUGGGCGUAAAGAGCUCGUAGGCGGUUUGUCGCGUCUGCCGUGAAAGUCCGGGGCUCAACUCCGGAUCUGCGGUGGGUACGGGCAGACUAGAGUGAUGUAGGGGAGACUGGAAUUCCUGGUGUAGCGGUGAAAUGCGCAGAUAUCAGGAGGAACACCAACGGCGAAGGCAGCUUGCUGGGACGGUACUGACGCUAAGGCGCGAAAGCGUGGGGAGCGAACAGG
rnacentral:rRNA from 1 species